rnacentral:rRNA from 1 species
GACGAACGCUGGCGGCGUGCUUAACACAUGCAAGUCGAACGGUGAAGCGAGUGCUUGCACUCGUGGAUCAGUGGCGAACGGGUGAGUAACACGUGAGUAACCUGCCCAUCACUCUGGGAUAAGCACUGGAAACGGUGUCUAAUACUGGAUACGACCAACCCCUGCAUGGGGUGUUGGUGGAAAGAUUUAUCGGUGAUGGAUGGACUCGCGGCCUAUCAGCUUGUUGGCGGGGUAAUGGCCCACCAAGGCGACGACGGGUAGCCGGCCUGAGAGGGUGACCGGCCACACUGGGACUGAGACACGGCCCAGACUCCUACGGGAGGCAGCAGUGGGGAAUAUUGCACAAUGGGCGAAAGCCUGAUGCAGCGACGCCGCGUGAGGGAUGACGGCCUUCGGGUUGUAAACCUCUUUCAGCAGGGAAGAAGCGAAAGUGACGGUACCUGCAGAAGAAGCACCGGCUAACUACGUG